rnacentral:rRNA from 1 species
CCUACGGGGGACAGCAGUGAGGAAUAUUGGUCAAUGGACGAGAGUCUGAACCAGCCAAGUAGCGUGAAGGAUGACUGCCCUAUGGGUUGUAAACUUCUUUUAUAAAGGAAUAAAACGAGGCACGUGUGCCUUUUUGUAUGUACCAUAUGAAUAAGGAUCGGCUAACUCCGUGCCAGCAGCCGCGGUAAUACGGAGGAUCCGAGCGUUAUCCGGAUUUAUUGGGUUUAAAGGGAGCGUAGGUGGAUUGUUAAGUCAGUUGUGAAAGUUUGCGGCUCAACCGUAAAAUUGCAGUUGAAACUGGCAGUCUUGAGUACAGUAGAGGUGGGCGGAAUUCGUGGUGUAGCGGUGAAAUGCUUAGAUAUCACGAAGAACUCCGAUUGCGAAGGCAGCUCACUGGACUGCAACUGACACUGAGGCUCGAAAGUGUGGGUAUCAAACAGGAUUAGAUACCCUAGUAGUC